AAAGAGUGACAGAGACCUUGGGAAGGAGAAGAGACGAGGAAAGCGGAGAGGACGGUGACUU
rnacentral:sRNA from 1 species